CCGGACUGAGGAAUUACGUGGAUAACGUCGGUGAAGUGGCUUACGGCUGAACUGUGGAGGACACAGCACUGUGGGUAACCAAAAUCCACAGAAAGACUCCAAGCUUGAGCAUCCGGUGUGCCUGCCUUUGAGCCAGGAAGAACAGCGUGGUAGCAGUGUGUUCGACAAGCUGGAGUUGGGGUUGACCGGCUCCUUCACUGUGGAGCUAGAAUGUCUGGCAGGAACUUUGCAACCAAGAGCAAAUCCAGGUACAAGGUCCACAGUCUCUUGCAGUCCUUGCUUUCCUAUUGAAGAAAUGGAAAUAAGGAUGCCUACUUCCUGUGAGUCAUAAGAAUUAAGUACCAGGGGUUGGGGAUCUAGCUCAGUGGUAGAGCGCUUGCCUAGCAAGCGCAAGGCCCUGGGUUCGGUCCCCAGCUCCAGAAAAAAAAAGGGAAAGAAAAGAAAAAAAAAGAAUUAAGUACCGAUAUCAGGAUUUAUCCCUAGGAUGAGCUCUGUUUACCUACUCAGCGCAGGUUUAUUUCCGAAUAUGCUAGAGCUGAGGAAUAGACACACCAGUCCUAUACCUCAACAUAACCCUAUCGUCCAACAAACAGUGACGCUUCCCCAGAACACUUCCCAGAGC
rnacentral:lncRNA from 1 species